GGAUUUCCCACUCUACUCUACCAGAGUUCGUAUAGCUUCAGAAAGAGUCAGAGUAUAAGCUCGAUCAUAAGUUGAUAUUUUUAAUUAAAUAUUUAUAAUAAAAUAUAUAUAUAAUAUAUAUAUAUAAUAUAAUAUAUAUGUAAGUGUAUAUAUAUAUAUAUAUAUAUAUAUAUAUAUAUAUAUAUAUAUAUAUAUAAAUAUAUAUAUAUAUAUAUAUAUAUAUAUAUAAAUAUAUAAAUAUUCAAGUGUAUAUAUGUAUAUUUAUAUAUUAUAUUUAUUUAUAAUAAAAAGUGGUCAAUUCAAAAUUGAAGCAAAAUUACAACCAUGGGUGGUGAGUAUAUGUAUGCUUAAUUUUUCUUUUUAUGCUGUCAUUAUCUUCUCAAAAUAUAUCUGUUAUUUAAUAGUAAGUGAAAUCACUGAUCAAUGUUAUUAGUAAUAUAUUUUAUAUACAAUUUUUUGAAUAUAAUAUAAUAAAUAUAUGUUGGAGAAUUCAUUUCCUUACUUGUUUUUAAACUAUUACGUAAUGAGUGUUUUCUAUCGUAUGCAAAUAGAUCAUGUUUGUUAUUUAUUUCAUAGUACUAUACUAUACUUUCUUGUGUUAUAAAUGAAUUACUUGACAAUUUUGUGAGGUACUCUGUAAUCUAUUCUGGCAUGUGUUGCGUAUAUUUCAUUUGAAACAACUUGGAUACUAAUUUGAUUUCUUUUCUCCAGAUUAUUAUUUAAAGGCUAACUAUACAGUAAAGAAACAGCUUGGUUCUGGUGGAUUUGCUUCUGUUUAUUCAGCUACUCGUAAGAAGGAUAGGUUAAUUGUGGCUCUAAAAAUGAUUAUAAAGUCAAAAAUAACGAAAUGGAGCGAGUUUGAAGGAGUAAGGGUUCCAAAGGAGGUUAUGCUUCUUCAAAAGGUUCAACACGUUGAUGGCGUAAUAAAACUGAUUGAAUAUUUUGAUACAGAGGAGUGUUUUGUACUAGUUUUGGAAAGACCAAAAUCGGUAGUUGACCUUUUCGAUUAUAUAUCAGGAAAGUUAGUGAUUGACGAAGAUGAAGCAAGGAGAUUUUUGAAAGAGACUGUCAAAAUUUUGGUAGCUUGUCAUGAAGCAGGAGUUACUCAUCGCGAUCUGAAAGACGAAAAUCUACUGGUCGAUUUGGAGAAUGGUAAAUUAAAAUUAAUAGAUUUUGGAUCAGGAGCAUACACAAAGGAAACGCUUUACGACGAGUACGAAGGUACAAGAGUUUAUAGUCCACCAGAAUGGAUUGUUCAUAGGAGAUAUUUCUAUGGGCCUAUGACAGUCUGGUCACUAGGUAUAUUACUAUAUAACAUGGUCUGUGGAGACAUUCCUUUCGAGAAGGACGAACAGAUAAUCAGGGCAGAUAUUGAAUUCCGCGGCAAAUUGAGUAAAGAGUGUAAGAACCUAAUAGAAAAUUGCCUGUCUGUUAAAUGGAUAGAUCGACCUAGUUUAAAGGACAUUCUAAAUCAUCCUUGGACAACUAACCAAAAAUGCUUAUAAUUAACCCAUCUCUUUCUCUUAUGUAUAUUUAUAUAUUUUAUAUGUAUGACCAAUUGAGAAUGAACUGUAAUUCAAGAAACCUCUUCUCAACAGGACAAUUUUUUGUUUUAAAAACAAACUGAAAUGGCAUUUUAACAAUGUUCAUUGUAAGUUUUCUUAUAAAGUUUUUCAUUAAAAAUAUUUCUAUGAAUUCUUAUUUUUAAACGAAAUGUACACACAGUGCGUAAAAAAUAAAAACAAAAUUUUAACUUCGUAGUUUCCUCUUGAAGCAGUUGUCUACAGUAUGUAUAUUAAAUUGAACAGAAUAUAUAAUAUAUUUCUUUAGGUGUCGACA
rnacentral:misc_RNA from 1 species